rnacentral:rRNA from 1 species
UACGUAGGGACCAAGCGUUGUUCGGAUUUACUGGGCGUAAAGGGCGCGUAGGCGGCUUAACAAGUCACUUGUGAAAUCUCCGGGCUUAACUCGGAACGGCCAAGUGAAACUGUCAAGCUAGAGUGCAGAAGGGGCAAUCGGAAUUCUUGGUGUAGCGGUGAAAUGCGUAGAUAUUGGGAAGAACACCUAUGGCGAAGGCAGCUCUCUGGGACGGUACUGACGCUGAGACGCGAAAGCGUGGGGAGCGAACAGG